AUACGGAGGAUCCGAGCGUUAUCCGGAUUUAUUGGGUUUAAAGGGUGCGUAGGCGGCCUUUUAAGUCAGCGGUGAAAGUCUGUGGCUCAACCAUAGAAUUGCCGUUGAAACUGGGGGGCUUGAGUAUGUUUGAGGCAGGCGGAAUGCGUGGUGUAGCGGUGAAAUGCUUAGAUAUCACGCAGAACCCCGAUUGCGAAGGCGGCGCGCCAAGCCAUGACUGACGCUGAUGCACGAAAGCGUGGGGAUCAAACAGGAUUAGAUACCCUGGUAGUCCACGCAGUAAACGAUGAUCACUAGCUGUUUGCGAUACACUGUAAGCGGCACAGCGAAAGCGUUAAGUGAUCCACCUGGGGAGUACGCCGGCAACGGUGAAACUCAAAUGAAUUGACGGGG
rnacentral:rRNA from 1 species